CAUGUGUGGAGAUCUUCACUGAAACUUUGAUUUCUAAAGGAAGAAGCUUCAUGCGGCAGCUGUAACCGUAAACUGGAAUUUUGUUUAGAAGAAGACAAAACACCUGCCUACCAUCUCAUUAAGACUUUAAUAUCACUCCAGAUAACACACUGGACAAACCAAGAAAUAUCUUGUUUCACUAAAGGAGAGUAUUCAGACUGCGGAGCAGAUUCAUAACUGUGCCUUUUAAAUUGGAUCAGAAAUGUCUGAUUCACCCCAAACUCAAAUAAUGAUGGAUGAAGAGGUCCCACUGAAUACCAUUCCAGGAUCAGGUGACACAAAAAAUAAUAACAUUUGCAAUCAAGUAAUCAGCUCCAAUGGACGGACUGCUGCCUCCUGCUGCGAUGAUAAGUACCACAGGAAACUAGCCAUCUGCAGCAUCAUCUGUGGGAUCUCCUGCAUUGGAAUCAAGUCUCUGAUCAAUUCAGUCAAGGCUGAGAAGACGACAGAUCUAGAGGAAGCUGCAAAGUUUUCACAACGGGCAAAAGAAUUUGGCAUCAUCUCCAUCGUGACAUGGGUUGUCAUUUUGGCUUUAAUUCCCAUACUAAUGGCAGUGAUCUCCUAUCUUCUCACUCUGCAAGACUGACCAUCUUCGAUGAAACCUUUACAGAAGAUAACCCGCCGAGUGGCUCUUCUGAUUUUGGAUUUUGACAAGGACAGACAGCGGACAGUACAAAGCUGCUUAUUAACUUCUAAAAGCCAUGAAGAUACGAACAAACUGGUAGUUACACAAAACACAAAAAGACUGCCUUACUCUUUCUUGUGCUUAUAAAAUGACCUGUCCUAGUUUACACAUUUCUACCUAUUAGCCUUUUGCAUUUUUUAAAACUUUUUUACACAAAGAACAACCACUUAAAAAAACAUUUACAUGUUUGUUUUUUUAUUUACACUGUAUUAUGCAUUUAAUGUAUGAACAUAUAAACGAUUCAAAAUCUAAAGGACAUAUAAAAUCCAGCAUUAACUAUAGUUUGAGACACGACAGCACAUGACGCAUUUACAUCAUAUAUUAAAGAUUAGAACUGUCACUGCCUGGUAACGACUCAAUCCUUAAUAUUUUUGCACCCUAAAUGUCACUACCAUUUAAAAUUUACCAUUCUUAGAUACUGUAUAUACUUGCAGAUACUACAAAAGUUACUUUAACUGUCACUCUAUAUAGUAGUAACAUUACCUUUUUCAUUAAGGAUUAGGUCAUUACUGGAAAUACAAUGGCAUGGCAGUGAUUCAUCAGAACAGGAGAUCCUGCUCUUGUUGUUAACAUCAUCUUGGCAUUAUUGCAUUGUUACCAUAUUUACUUUAUUAAUGUAUCAAUGUUGUACUUUUAUACACGCAUACAAACAAAAGAAAUUCAUAAUAAAAACGGCAAACGUG